UGAGUAACAGGUGGGCAACGUGCCCUGAAGUGGGGAAUAACACCGGGAAACCGGUGCUAAUACCGCAUGUGGCCAUCGAGGCUAAGGCUUUGAUGGUUAAAGGAGUAAUUCGCUUCAGGAUCGGCCCGCCCCCGAUUAGCUAGUUGGUGAGGUAACGGCUCACCAAGGCUACGAUCGGUAGCUGGUCUGAGAGGAUGGUCAGCCACACUGGGACUGAGAUACGGCCCAG
rnacentral:rRNA from 1 species